rnacentral:hammerhead_ribozyme from 1 species
AUCUAGGUGACGAGUCCCAAAUGGGACGAAACGUGCGUCCUGGAU